rnacentral:rRNA from 1 species
GACGUAGGGCGCGAGCGUUGUCCGGAUUUAUUGGGCGUAAAGAGCUCGUAGGCGGCUUGUUGCGUCGACUGUGAAAACCCGCGGCUUAACUGCGGGCUUGCAGUUGAUACGGGCAGGCUAGAGUUCGGUAGGGGAGACUGGAAUUCCUGGUGUAGCGGUGAAAUGCGCAGAUAUCAGGAGGAACACCGGUGGCGAAGGCGGGUCGCUGGGCCGAUAUUGACGCUGAGGAGCGAAAGCGUGGGGAGCAAACAGG